rnacentral:rRNA from 1 species
UAGGUGUGGGUUCCUUUUCACGGGAUCCGUGCCGUAGCUAACGCAUUAAGUACCCCGCCUGGGGAGUACGGCCGCAAGGCUAAAACUCAAAGGAAUUGACGGGGGCCCGCACAAGCGGCGGAGCAUGUGGAUUAAUUCGAUGCAACGCGAAGAACCUUACCUGGGUUUGACAUACAUCAGAAAGCCAUAGAGAUAUGGCCCCCCUUGUGGUUGGUGUACAGGUGGUGCAUGGCUGUCGUCAGCUCGUGUCAUGAGAUGUUGGGUUAAGUCCCGCAACGAGCGCAACCCUUGUCCUGUGUUGCCAGCACGUAGUGGUGGGGACUCGCAGGAGACUGCCGGGGUCAACUCGGAGGAAGGUGGGGAUGACGUCAAGUCAUCAUGCCCCUUAUGUCCAGGGCUUCACACAUGCUACAAUGGCCGGUACAGAGGGCUGCGAUACCGUGAGGUGGAGCGAAUCCCUUAAAGCCGGUCUCAGUUCGGAUCGGGGUCUGCAACUCGACCCCGUGAAGUCGGAGUCGCUAGUAAUCGCAGAUCAGCAACGCUGCGGUGAAUACGUUCCCGGGCCUUGUACACACCGCCCGUCACGUCAUGAAAGUUGGUAACACCCGAAGCCGGUGGCCCAACCCCUUGUGGGAGGGAGCCGUCGAAGGUGGGGCUG